UACGAGGGGGGGCGAGCGUUGUUCGGAAUUAUUGGGCGUAAAGGGUGCGUAGGCGGUCUUGUAAGUCAGUGGUGAAAUCUCUUCGCUUAACGAAGAAACUGCCAUUGAUACUGCAGGACUUGAGUACAGAUGCUGUGGGCGGAAUAUGACAUGUAGUGGUGAAAUACAUAGAGAUGUCAUAGAACACCGAUUGCGAAGGCAGCUCACAAAAACUGUAAACUGACGCUGAGGCACGAAAGUGCGGGGGAUCAAACAGG
rnacentral:rRNA from 1 species